rnacentral:siRNA from 1 species
UAUUUGUACAGGAUUGUUCUAC